AUUGAACGCUGGCGGCAGGCCUAACACAUGCAAGUCGAGCGGAUGAAGGGAGCUUGCUCCUGGAUUCAGCGGCGGACGGGUGAGUAAUGCCUAGGAAUCUGCCUGGUAGUGGGGGAUAACGUCCGGAAACGGGCGCUAAUACCGCAUACGUCCUGAGGGAGAAAGUGGGGGAUCUUCGGACCUCACGCUAUCAGAUGAGCCUAGGUCGGAUUAGCUAGUUGGUGGGGUAAAGGCCUACCAAGGCGACGAUCCGUAACUGGUCUGAGAGGAUGAUCAGUCACACUCGAACUGACACUCCGUUCAGACUCCUGCGGGACGCAGCAGCCGGGAAUUUUGGCCCGAGCUCGCAGGCCCUAUCCAGGCCUGCCCCGUGUGGCAAUAAGGUCUCCGGCUUGUAAAGCACUUUAAGCUCGGCGGACGGUCAGUCACCUUACACUUCCCCGUUUUCACGUUCCCCUGACAAUAAGCACCCCCUGCCCUCUUG
rnacentral:rRNA from 1 species